rnacentral:rRNA from 1 species
UAGGGAAUCUUCCGCAAUGGACGCAAGUCUGACGGAGCAACGCCGCGUGAGUGAAGAAGGAUUUCGGUUCGUAAAACUCUGUUGUUAGAGAAGAACAGCGCAUAGAGUAACUGUUAUGCGUGUGACGGUAUCUAACCAGAAAGCCACGGCUAACUACGUGCCAGCAGCCGCGGUAAUACGUAGGUGGCAAGCGUUGUCCGGAUUUAUUGGGCGUAAAGCGAGCGCAGGCGGUUAGAAAAGUCUGAAGUGAAAGGCAGUGGCUCAACCAUUGUAGGCUUUGGAAACUGUUUAACUUGAGUGCAGAAGGGGAGAGUGGAAUUCCAUGUGUAGCGGUGAAAUGCGUAGAUAUAUGGAGGAACACCGGUGGCGAAAGCGACUCUCUGGUCUGUAACUGACGCUGAGGCUCGAAAGCGUGGGGAGCGAACAGG